rnacentral:rRNA from 1 species
GUUGUAUGGUUAAGCGACCAAGCGUAUACGGUGGAUGCCUUGGCAGUCAGAGGCGAUGAAGGACGUAGUAACUUGCGAAAAGCGUUGGUGAGCUAGUAACAAGCAUUUGAGCCAGCGAUGUCCGAAUGGGGAAACCCGGCAGCAUAAGCUGUCAUCAAUACGUGAAUACAUAGCGUAUUGAGGCGAACGAGGGGAACUGAAACAUCUAAGUACCCUCAGGAAAAGAAAUCAACCGAGAUUCCCCAAGUAGCGGCGAGCGAACGGGGAUUAGCCCUUAAGUCUUUGGGGUGUUAGUGGAAUGUGUUGGAAAGCACAGCGGCACAGGGUGAUAGCCCCGUACACGUAAACUAACCAGAGAUGAAAUCGAGUAAGGCGGCACACGUGACAUGUUGUCUGAAUAUGGGGGGACCAUCCUCCAAGGCUAAAUACUCCUGACUGACCGAUAGUGAACCAGUACCGUGAGGGAAAGGCGAAAAGAACCCCUGUGAGGGGAGUGAAAUAGAACCUGAAACCGUAUACGUACAAGCAGUGGAAGCGGUCCUUGAGACCGUGACUGCGUACCUUUUGUAUAAUGGGUCAGCGACUUACAUUUAGUAGCGAGGUUAAGCGAAUAGCGGAGCCGUAGGGAAACCGAGUGUUAACUGCGCGUUUAGUUGCUAGGUGUAGACCCGAAACCCGGUGAUCUAGCCAUGGGCAGGUUGAAGGUUGAGUAACAUCAACUGGAGGACCGAACCGACUAAUGUUGAAAAAUUAGCGGAUGACUUGUGGCUGGGGGUGAAAGGCCAAUCAAACCGGGAGAUAUCUGGUUCUCCUCGAAAGCUAUUUAGGUAGCGCCUCGGACGAACACCUUUGGGGGUAGAGCACUGUUAAGGCUAGGGGGUCAUCCCGACUUACCAACCCUUUGCAAACUCCGAAUACCAAAGAGUGCUAUCCGGGAGACAGACGGCGGGUGCUAACGUCCGUCGUCAAAAGGGAAACAACCCAGACCGUCAGCUAAGGUCCCAAAGUAAUUGCUAAGUGGGAAACGAUGUGGGAAGGCUUAGACAGCUAGGAUGUUGGCUUAGAAGCAGCCAUCAUUUAAAGAAAGCGUAAUAGCUCACUAGUCGAGUCGGCCUGCGCGGAAGAUGUAACGGGGCUAAGCAAUUCACCGAAGCUACGGGUACUGAUGCUUGCAUCAGUGCGGUAGAGGAGCGUUCUGUAAGCCGUUGAAGGCGAAGGGGUAACCCCCGCUGGAGGUAUCAGAAGUGCGAAUGCUGACAUGAGUAACGAUAAAGGGGGUGAAAAACCCCCUCGCCGAAAGACCAAGGGUUCCUGUCCAACGUUAAUCGGGGCAGGGUGAGUCGACCCCUAAGGCGAGGCUGAAAGGCGUAGUCGAUGGGAAACGGGUUAAUAUUCCCGUACUUCUGCUAACUGCGAUGGAGAGACGGAGAAGGCUAGGCCAGCGCGGCGUUGGUUGUCCGCGUUUAAGGUAGUAGGUGGUGUGCUUAGGCAAAUCCGGGCACACAUACACUGAGAGCUGAUGACGAGUCCCUACGGGGAUGAAGUGGUUGAUGCCAUGCUUCCAGGAAAAUCUUCUAAGCUUCAGGUUAGUAGAAAUCGUACCCCAAACCGACACAGGUGGUCGGGUAGAGAAUACCAAGGCGCUUGAGAGAACUCGGCUGAAGGAACUAGGCAAAAUGGUACCGUAACUUCGGGAGAAGGUACGCUGCCGGCGGUGAAGACCUCGCGUCGUAAGCUGCUGGCAGUCGCAGAUACCAGGUGGCUGCAACUGUUUAUCAAAAACACAGCACUGUGCAAAAUCGCAAGAUGACGUAUACGGUGUGACGCCUGCCCGGUGCCGGAAGGUUAAUUGAUUGGGUUAUCUUCGGAGAAGCUCAUGAUCGAAGCCCCGGUAAACGGCGGCCGUAACUAUAACGGUCCUAAGGUAGCGAAAUUCCUUGUCGGGUAAGUUCCGACCUGCACGAAUGGCGUAAUGAUGGCCACGCUGUCUCCAGCCGAGACUCAGUGAAGUUGAAAUUGCGGUGAAGAUGCCGUAUACCCGCGGCUAGACGGAAAGACCCCGUGAACCUUUACUAUAGCUUGGCACUGAACAUUGACCCUACAUGUGUAGGAUAGGUGGGAGACUAUGAAGAUGAGACGCCAGUCUUGUUGGAGUCAACCUUGAAAUACCACCCUUGUAGUGUUGAUGUUCUAACCUUGGUCCCUUAUCGGGAUUAGGGACAGUGCCUGGUGGGUAGUUUGACUGGGGCGGUCUCCUCCCAAAGAGUAACGGAGGAGCACGAAGGUUGGCUAAGUACGGUCGGACAUCGUACGGUUAGUGCAAUGGCAUAAGCCAGCUUAACUGCGAGACAGACACGUCGAGCAGAUGCGAAAGCAGGUCAUAGUGAUCCGGUGGUUCUGAAUGGAAGGGCCAUCGCUCAACGGAUAAAAGGUACUCCGGGGAUAACAGGCUGAUACCGCCCAAGAGUUCAUAUCGACGGCGGUGUUUGGCACCUCGAUGUCGGCUCAUCACAUCCUGGGGCUGAAGUCGGUCCCAAGGGUAUGGCUGUUCGCCAUUUAAAGUGGUACGCGAGCUGGGUUCAGAACGUCGUGAGACAGUUCGGUCCCUAUCUGCCGUGGGCGUUGGAUGAUUGAGGGGAGCUGCUCCUAGUACGAGAGGACCGGAGUGGACGAACCGCUGGUGUUCGGGUUGUCAUGCCAAUGGCAUUGCCCGGUAGCUACGUUCGGAAUCGAUAACCGCUGAAAGCAUCUAAGCGGGAAGCGAGCCCCAAGAUGAGUCAUCCCUAGGUCCUAGAGACCUCUGAAGAGCCGUUCGAGACCAGGACGUUGAUAGGCAGGGUGUGUAAGCGUUGCGAGGCGUUGAGCUAACCUGUACUAAUGACUCGAGAGGCUUAACCAUACAACCCAGAUGGGUUUU